rnacentral:miRNA from 1 species
AGGGAUGUUCCUUCUUCGCC